UUUCGCGUCUAAAAAAGUUUGCCAGCACAGGAAUUUGGCCAUCAAAUGAGGGUAAUAGGCCAGCUCCUCGACAGAAGAAGUGGUACGAGAUUUAUCAAAGGAUUGAGAAAUGUCCGAUGCUGUCUCGUGGCCAGACAAACUUGCUUGGAGGUGUGCUGAAAUGCAUCUGUGGUUUUCACACUCCAAAGCCCACUGCCAGCCCUACUGGACCAGCACAAAGGGUGGUGGAACAACCUGCUGCUGCUGCUGGAACAGCAAAGAAGGCCAUGGAGCAGAGUCGGCCUGACCCCCAGCCCCAGCCUACUGCACCUGUGGCAG